GUUUUUUUAUUUACAAGUAAUCACAAACUCUGAUCACUGAAGAUUGGAAUUGGAUUUAAUUUUAAUUUUUAAAUCUAACUCAAAGAGAAUUAUCUAAAUGAUGUGGAGUGCCGGCAGUGAUAUAGAAGUUUUAGAUAUUUUACCGAAAGGGGCGAUUGGAUUUAAGACGAAUAUAUUACUUGCGAGUGUGGGAAAAGAUUCCUUGUAAUGAAUAGUACUAUUUAAAAAAAAAGUGAACGAGAUAAAACGAUCGUGCGGUCAACAGCUCUGAGGAUUCCAAUAAGUGCAUUACAGGCUUGUAGGGACGGUAACUUCUAGUUUACACACCCUGUUCUAUGUGUAAAAUAUUGUGUUAACUUCAUUAAGACGUGACAAAAAAGUAUUUGUUUAAUCAAACAUGGUUUAUACAUGUUUUUUAUGUAAAUGGAGGGGUGAUAAAUUUCCCCGAAGAUCCUAUCACAAAUUUCCUUCCAAUGCAGAAAUGAGGCAGAAAUGGUUAGAUAUAAUGGGAAAGAGCAACGUAUCUAUUGGAGUACGGACAUCACUGUGCUCUAUACAUUUUGAUGAAGACUGUUUUCGAUACGGAUUAGUCAAUGGAAGAAGAAUAUUGAAGGACGGAAGCAUACCAACACUACAUUUGACGAAUGACAAACAGGAACAAAUCAUUGACUUGGUUGAUGAAAUAAAACAUCCAGAACCGUUUAUAGAAAGUAGUGUCCGUACAGGACAUACAACAGGAGAGGCUGUGCAGAUUGAACCACAGACGCACAGAAAAGAGACAGAGGAUGUAAAUAUAAACGAUUCGGUCCAAUGCAUUUCGUGCGCUCGGUUAAUAACAGAGUUCCGCUAUACAUGUGUGCAGUGUAGCGACUUGGACCUGUGCGGCGCGUGCGAGGCCGACAGAGCACACCACCAACACUAUGUGCUGCGAAUACCAGCUGAUAGACCUGCAGCUGAAGUCAAAUUCGUGCUAGCUACAUUAAGACGAUAUCUGCCGACUCUGGAUCCUAAAACUGUGUCUGAACCUGAUUGGGAUGGUCCAUUAAGCAUCAAGUCUGAAAUAAAGUCCGAGUGUGAGGACGAUGAAGAGAUGACUCCGACGGUGGCGCACGUGUCGGAGAACACAGUGUUGUGGGCCGCGUGCGAACAUCAGGAACAUAGACACUGCUUCACAAAUAUAGGAAUAAAGUUGGAGUCAGUUAACGAGGGUGACAGUGUGCACUUCUCGAGCGCAGACGAAUGUGACAGUAGUGAUGGUACAAAUGCGAUGGUGGGCAAAGGGAGAAGAGAUGUUGGUACGGAUGGUGGUACAACUAAUGCUGUUCCCAUGUCUAGUCAUACUGAGAUGCUAGAUGAUACCACAUCAGCUAAAGAAACAUGCUUUACGUCAGUCAGUUCUGGACAUGAGGAAUUAAUAAUAAUGGAGAGCGGGCCAAGGGAAGAUAUAAAUCAAGAAGAGUCAGAGAUCGCCGACAAUAGUACAGAUCACACGCCGUCAAAAAAGUCAAGAUCAAUCAAAUCAAAAAUCGAUAUCAUAGAUAUUGAUGACGUUCAAUUUAUGCAAACUUACAGAAUGUCAAAGAGAACAGCUAUCGAGAUAUGUAAUCAAAUCGAUAAAGACUUGGAAUUCAGGAGUGAAAGAGUGGCAUCAUUCGAACAGCUACUCAUAGCCCUCAGGUACUACGCCACCGGCACUCAUCUACAGAAGAUAGCUUCAGGUCAUCGAGUGAGCAUAUCUACAGCAAGCAGGAUCGUCAAGAGAGUAUCAAGCGCGAUAGUCAAGCUGAAGGACAAAUAUAUACACAUGCCGACUGCCGAAGAUAUAGAGAUGUGUCAGAAGGAGUUUUGUAGUGUAGCGAAUUUUCCUACCAUCAUAGGGUGUAUAGAUUGCACGCAUGUGAGGAUUACUUCGCCAGGUAACAAUUGUGACGCGUACAAAAACAAAAGAGCCUAUUUCUCAUUGAAUGUACAAACGGUGGUAGACUCAAAAUUGAGGAUAAGGCACGUGGUCGCUCAUUCACCGGGCUCCACUAGCGAUGCUAGAGUGUUUGAGGACAGCGUGUUGAGCCAGGAGUUUGAGGCAGGAGAAUAUGGUAAAGCGUGUCUGCUUGGUGACAGCGCGUAUCCCUUGAAGAAAUAUUUGCUCACACCGUACCUAGAACCAACCACAGAAGUGCGGAAACGCUACAAUAAAAGCCACAGCGAGACCAGAAAAGUAGUAGAGACACUAUAUAGCAUGUUAAAGAAGAGGUUCCCAGCUCUCGCAGUAGGGUUACGGAUUAAUUUACAGACAGCAGUCGAUAUGAUCACCGCCUGUUGCAUCCUCCAUAACAUAUGCGUGGAGAAUGGCGAAGAUGUCCCCCCGCCUGACAUAAAGAAUGCAGUGUUGGAAGCCCACAUAGAGCAUGGGAGUAUUGUCGAUGUCUAUGACAAGCCUGGAGAUGACGGUAGAAGGAAUGCGAUCAUUCGUAAAUAUUUUUCAGAGACAAUGGUGAAAUCAAAAGCUCACCGUCAAAAAGAGUACCGUCAGAGAAAAAAAAUAGAAAAUCAAAUUGAAAUAAAAAUACGAAAAACAAACGCUCAGUACCAACAGAAGUUUAGAGAGAAUCAAAAAAAUAAAUUGCGCAAUGAAACAUCUGAUUCCUGCCUUGCCAGAAAAAAAGCCAUUGCUGAACGCGCUAAAAGAUACAGAGACAAUAAAAAAAAGAAGCAACAGAACGAAACGUUGGAGGCGAUUCUUGCCAGUUUUAUAUUUUUCAGAAGAAAAACGAAUGCUGAACGCAUCAAAAUAUACAGAGAUAAAUUAAAAUCGAAAAGAGAACGUGCUGAACUUGAAUCUUUAAAAUCAUCGUAAGGAGUUUGAUUAUCAACCGCACCAAUGUAGUAAGGAAGAAUUAGAAAAAACAAUAAAUACCACUUUUAUCCUCGAUGGGGUAGGCAGAAGCGUAACAGGUGCAUCCACUUUCCACCCGGCCAUGACGCUGCGCCGGAGUGACUACGGGAUAUAAAUGAGAUGACUUGAUACGCAGCUGGGAUUAGUUCUUGUUGAGUAAAGGGUGAAAAUUGUUGUAGGAGAGAUCUUCGCUGGCCAGAGCGUAGAGAGCAGUAAAUAUGGACUUAGGAUCUAAACUUGGGGAGGGAGGAACUAAGGUUGGGAAAGAUAUUUUUCAAAGAGAAUUAACGGCAAACACGUAUAUGUAAAAAUAAAUUUAAUGCAUUAUGUAUGUUAAUUUGUAAAUAAUUUAUAAUUCUCUAUGUUUUCCGAAAAUAUAUCAGUAGAUAAUCA
rnacentral:misc_RNA from 1 species